UUUUUUUUAAAGAAUAUUUUUUUCUUCACUCUGCUGAGGGAAAUGUACCCAUGAUUCCACAGUUUUACCCAGGAUACACUUCUGCAAAGCCCCUCCUAUCUCCUCACUCCCGGUUUUGUGAGACUUCAGGGAGAAGGAGCCAUUACAGUCAGCUCUGUUGUGGAAUUGUUUUUUUAGGACAAUCCCUGCGUUUUAAAACACAUUUAUAUCCUAUUUUUGUACUGACUACAAUAAUGGAGCCUUUUUCUGACCAGAUUGUGAUGUUCAUGCUGGCUGCAAGCAUGGAGGAAGAAAGGGUUGGUGGACAUCAGGAUCAAGGUCAGCAAAUGUCUGCAUUGGGUGAGCCAGUAUUGCGGGUUUCAUUUCCACGUCCACGCCAGUAUCGCACUAGGCGUGAACUGGAGGAUCUCAGCGAGUUCGAGGUGAUUCAAAAGUAUCGCUUAUCGACUCGCGACAUAUAUUCGCUGUACGCUCUGUUGGAGGCCGACCUGGAACCUCGGGCACGGACCAAUCGCGCAGUCAGCGGUUUCCAGAAACUGCUGGCUACGUUACAUUUUUUGGCGUCAGGCACAUUCCAGGCUACACUGUCUCAAACAUGCGGUUUUUCACAGUCGACACUGUUGCGCUGUAUAACGCAGGUCAUUAGGGCUUUCCGCAAAUUGACGAUCCAGUUCAUCACAUUUCCAGAGACGGACAGCGAAUGUCGUGAGAUCAAAUUAGGCUUUUUUACCAAAUACAAAUUUCCCACAGUAUUGACUGUACCCACGUGCACAUCAGGCGGUCUGUGAUGUCAACAUGAAAUUUUUGAAUAUUUUUGUUGGAUUUCCUGGAUCGUCUCACGACUCCUUCAUCCUAAGUCAGUCAUCGCUGUUUGAGAAGUUUGAAACAGGAAACAUGCCGGGUGGCUGGCUGUUAGGCGAUGCGGGUUAUCCCAACAAAUCGUGGCUCUUGACCCCAUUGUCUAAUCCUGUUGGUAGAGCAGAAAAACGUUACCAAGAGACACACAAAGCAUCGAGGCAAAUAAUUGAACGUGCCUUCGGUGUCCUUAAAAGCCGGUUUCGAUGUUUAGACACUUCCGGCGGUGCUCUUUUGUAUUCACCGGGAAAAGUUUGCGGCAUGGUAAAUGCAUGUUGUAUUUUACACAACAUACGUGUCGCAAACCAUUUGCCGGUGACUCUUCGUCGAAGUGCUUUCCGACGCGGGAACCGUUCUUCUGCUCUACCGGUGGGUAUGGACGAAGGAGAUGAUUCCCGACGGACAUUGAUCCAAAGCUUUUUCUCCACUGCCUAGUUUUACGUCCUGUUGACGCACCUUCCCAGGACUGUUUUCAAAGUUUCGUCCUGUUGAUGACCUGUUACCCCCUGUUUUCUCCUGUUGUUGGGUUGCCGCAAAUAUUGGACCCGUUUAUCCAACUCUACCAUGGGCGACCUACUUGUGAUGUGGACCUGACCCUCCGCCAUGUAGCAGACAACCCCCCUCAGGUGAGAUGUAUUGCCCAAAAUCCCUCCUGUCCAAGUCACCCCUGCAUGUCCAAAGUGCAGCCCUCCGGCAUUUGCAAAAAUGCACAUCCAAUCAUGCCCUGAUACACCAAUGCGUGUCAGGGAAUGUUUGGAUGUGCAGUUACGCAAGUGCCGGAGGGUUGCAUUUGGGGCCGCUGUAACCUGCUUGUGUCGUGUUGCUUGUACCUUGUCUUUUCCAUACCAGGGGGACACUAUUACCAAUAGCUGGAACCUCAUACUAUUCUCUUCCACAGGUCUUGCAGAGUAUCCUUCCCAAGUGGCGUGGAUGUGAAGAGACACGACAUUUCUCCUGAUGUACCAUGGGCGACCUACUUGUGAUGUGGACCUGACCCUCCGCCAUGUAGCAGACAACCCCCCUCAGGUCUUGCGGAGUAUCCUUCCCAAGUGGCUUGAAUCCUCAUGGAUGAAGAGGGACACAACAGUUCCCCUGCUGUACCAUGGGCGACCUAACACAAUUCCACUGCAUCUUAUAUUUAACAUUGUAUUUACUAAUAAUUUAAAUAAAAACCACAGAAAACUUCUCAUUUUAGAAAUUUA